AUUGAACGCUGGCGGCAGGCUUAACACAUGCAAUUCGAGCGCGCGGCGGACGGGUGAGUAAUGUCUGGGAAACUGCCUGAUGGAGGGGGAUAAAUACUGGAAACGGUAGCUAAUACCGCAUACCAUCAGAUGUGCCCAGAUGGGAUUAGCUAGUAGGUGGGGUAAUGGCUCACCUAGGCAACGAUCCCUAGCUGGUCUGAGCGGAUUACCAGCCACACUGGAACGGAGACACGGUCCAGACUCCUACGUGAGGCAGCGGUGGGGAAUUUUGCAAAAUGGGCGCAAGCCUUAUGCAGCAAGGCCGCGUGUGUGAAGAAGGCCUUCGGGUUGUAAAGCACUUUCAGCGAGGAGGCGUUACUCGCAGAAGAAGCACCGGCUAACUCCGUGCCAGUAGCCGCGGUAAUUC
rnacentral:rRNA from 1 species